AUUGAACGCUGGCGGCAGGCCUAACACAUGCAAGUCGAGCGGCUGCAGAGUGCUUGCUCCCGGAUUCAGCGGGGGACGGGCGGGUGGGGCCUAGGAACCUGGCUGUUUGCGGUUGCUUACGUCCGGAAACGGGGGCUAUUACGGCAUUAGCCCAGAGGACGUACGUGGGGGAGCAUCGGACCUUCCGACCUCACAUGAUCCAAGGUCGGAUUAGCUAGUUGGCGGGGUAAAGGCCUACCAAGGCGACGAUCCGUCACUGGUCUGAGAGGAUGAUCAGUCACACUGGAACUGAGACACGGUCCAGACUCCUACGGGAGGCAGCAGUGGGGAAUAUUGGACAAUGGGCGAAAGCCUGAUCCAGCCAUGCCGCGUGUGUGAAGAAGGUCUUCGGAUUGUAAAGCACUUUAAGUUGGGAGGAAGGGCAGUAAGUUAAUACCUUGCUGUUUUGACGUUACCAACAGAAUAAGCACCGGCUAACUUCGUG
rnacentral:rRNA from 1 species